AUUUCAUAAAAUAGUCAAGAGUACUAGCCGUUACUUUAUUGCAAAAAUCUAAUUCACCAAUACAAACACUGACUUUCAGCAACGACUGCAAGCCCUCCUAAACCUUAUGAAUCCAAUUCACAAUUCACACUGACUUUGAGCAAUAAUUGCAAAGUUCUCUUAAAUCCUAUGAAAUCCAAUUCUACACCUUUCGAAGGAGCUUGAAGCUAGCUCUCCGAUCCCAAAAUCUCGAUCUCCAAAUGCCUUCUUCUUUUUCUUCUCCUUU
rnacentral:lncRNA from 1 species